rnacentral:tRNA from 1 species
AGACGACAAAAUGUUAAAUAUUAAUUUUGUCACCUUAGGUCGAUCGGUAUCUCACAUUCUUAAUUUAUUAAGGAUUUUAUUUCCUAAGUUUUUCUAGGUCACACCCAAUUUUUCCUGGGCCAUUAGCUCAGGUGGUUAGAGCGCACCCCUGAUAAGGGUGAGGUCCCUGGUUCAAGUCCAGGAUGGCCCAUAUCUCUAUGUUGAGGGUAUAGCUCAGUUGGUAGAGCGCCUGCUUUGCAAGCAGGAUGUCAGCGGUUCGAGUCCGCUUACCUCCACUGAUUACCACCUCUUCCGUAAUCUAUAGAAAGGAAAAUUUUUGAGUUGUGAUCAAAUUCUGAACGAAUCUAGCUUCCUAAUGAAUUCAUUAAGAUGCUGGACUCAUUGAAUUAAUUUCAUUGAUUUCAGAGAACCUUGACAACUGCAUAGAUUAUUUUAAAGACAAUAAGCAUCUUUAAUGAUGCAGAUUUAUUAUUUGUGCUAAUGCAUUAAUAACAAUUCUAUUAAGCUGAUGCUUCAAUUUUGAAGUUAUU